rnacentral:rRNA from 1 species
UGAUUAAGCCAUGCGAGUCGAGAGGGUUCGGCCCUCGGCGUACUGCUCAGUAACACGUGGAUAACCUGCCCCUAGGGAAGGGGAUAAUCCCGGGAAACUGGGGAUAAUACCCUAUAGGUUACAGAUGCUGGAAUGCUCUGUAAUCAAAAGUUCCGGCGCCCUAGGAUGGAUCUGCGGCCGAUUAGGUUGUUGUUGGGGUAAUGGCCCAACAAGCCAGUAAUCGGUACGGGUUGUGGGAGCAAGAGCCCGGAGUUGGAUUCUGAGACACGAAUCCAGGCCCUACGGGGCGCAGCAGGCGCGAAAACUUUACAAUGCGGGCAACCGUGAUAAGGGAACCUCGAGUGCCUGUAAAUGCAGGCUGUUCAGAUGCCUAAAACACAUCUGGAGAAAGGGCAGGGCAAGACCGGUGCCAGCCGCCGCGGUAAUACCGGCGGCUCGAGUGGUGGCCACUUUUAUUGGGCUUAAGGCGUUCGUAGCUGGGUUGUUAAGUCUCUUGGGAAAUCUGGCGGCUUAACCGUCAGGCGUCUAAGGGAUACUGGCAAUCUUGGAACCGGGAGAGGUGAGGGGUACUUCGGGGGUAGGAGUGGAAUCCUGUAAUCCUCGAGGGACCACCUGUGGCGAAGGCGCCUCACCAGAACGGCUUCGACAGUGAGGGACGAAAGCUGGGGGAGCAAACCGGAUUAGAUACCCGGGUAGUCCCAGCCGUAAACUAUGCGCGUUAGGUGUAUCGGUGACCACGAGUUACCGAGGUGCCGAAGGGAAACCGUGAAACGUGCCGCCUGGGAAGUACGGUCGCAAGGCUGAAACUUAAAGGAAUUGGCGGGGGAGCA